GUUUGAUCKUSGCUCAGAACGAACGCUGGCGGCAGGCUUAACACAUGCAAGUCGAGCGCCCCGCAAGGGGAGCGGCAGACGGGUGAGUAACGCGUGGGAAUCUACCUAGCUCUACGGAAUAACCCAGGGAAACUUGGACUAAUACCGUAUACGUCCUUCGGGAGAAAGAUUUAUCGGAGUUGGAUGAGCCCGCGUUGGAUUAGCUAGUUGGUGGGGUAAUGGCCUACCAAGGCGACGAUCCAUAGCUGGUCUGAGAGGAUGAUCAGCCACACUGGGACUGAGACACGGCCCAGACUCUACGGGAGGCAGCAGUGGGGAAUAUUGGACAAUGGGCGAAAGCCUGAUCCAGCCAUGCCGCGUGAGUGAUGAAGGCCCUAGGGUUGUAAAGCUCUUUCAACGGUGAAGAUAAUGACGGUAACCGUAGAAGAAGCCCCGGCUAACUUCGUGCCAGCAGCCGCGGUAAUACGAAGGGGGCUAGCGUUGUUCGGAAUUACUGGGCGUAAAGCGCACGUAGGCGGACUAUUAAGUCAGGGGUGAAAUCCCGGGGCUCAACCCCGGAACUGCCUUUGAUACUGGUAGUCUAGAGUCCGAGAGAGGUGAGUGGAAUUCCGAGUGUAGAGGUGAAAUUCGUAGAUAUUCGGAGGAACACCAGUGGCGAAGGCS
rnacentral:rRNA from 1 species